rnacentral:rRNA from 1 species
CCUACGUGAGGCAGCAGUAGGGAAUUUUGCGCACUGGGCGAAAGCCUGCCGCCUCAACGCCUCUUGACCGAGACGCCCUUCGGGGUGUAAAGUUCUGUCAGUGGGGACGAAAAAUGACGGUACCCACAGAGGAAGCACCGGCUAACUCCGUGCCAGCAGCCGCGGUAAUACGGAGGGUGCAAGCGUUGUCCGGAAUCAUUGGGCGUAAAGGGUGCGUAGGUGGUUUAGUAAGUUGGCGGUGUAAUUCCGGGGCUCAACCUCGGCGCUACCGCCAAAACUAUUAGACUAGAGUGCAGGAGGGGUAAGUGGAAUUCCUAGUGUAGCGGUGAAAUGCGUAGAUAUUAGGAGGAACACCAGUGGCGAAGGCGGCUUACUGGACUGUAACUGACGUUGAGGCUCGAAAGCGUGGGGAGCAAACAGGAUUAGAUACCCGGGUAGUC